rnacentral:rRNA from 1 species
AGAGUUUGAUCCUGGCUCAGAACGAACGCUGGCGGCGUGGAUAAGACAUGCAAGUCGAACGCUUAUUCCUUGGUAGCAAUAUUGAGGAGUAGGAGUGGCGCGAGGGUGCGUAACACGUGGAUCAUCUGCCUGGAAGUUCGGAAUAAUUCGGCGAAAGCCGGACUAAUGCCGGAUGUGGAUGGAAGUCUAAAGUUGGGGACCGCAAGGCCUGACGCUUCCAGAUGAGUCCGCGGCCUAUCAGCUAGUUGGCGGGGUAACGGCCCACCAAGGCUAAGACGGGUAGCUGGUCUGAGAGGACGACCAGCCUCACUGGAACUGAGACACGGUCCAGACACCUACGGGUGGCAGCAGUCGAGAAUUUUUCUCAAUGGGGGAAACCCUGAAGGAGCGACGCCGCGUGGGGGAUGAAGGGCUUCGGCCCGUAAACCCCUGUCAUUUGCGAACAAACCUUGUCUGUUAACAGUAGGCAAGUUGAUUGUAGUGAAAGAGGAAGGGACGGCUAACUCUGUGCCAGCAGCCGCGGUAAUUC